UACGAAGGGGGCUAGCGUUGCUCGGAAUCACUGGGCGUAAAGCGCACGUAGGCGGAUUGUUAAGUCAGGGGUGAAAUCCUGGAGCUCAACUCCAGAACUGCCUUUGAUACUGGCGAUCUUGAGGACUGGAGAGGAGACUGGAAUUUACGGUGUAGCGGUGAAAUGCGUAGAUAUCUGGAGGAACACCGGUGGCGAAAGCGCGAGACUGGGCCGUAACUGACGCUGAGGAACGAAAGCCAGGGGAGCGAAAGGG
rnacentral:rRNA from 1 species